rnacentral:rRNA from 1 species
GACCUUCGGGAGCCAUUACAGGUGUUGCAUGGCUGUCGUCAGCUCGUGUCGUGAGAUGUUCGGUUAAGUCCGCUAACGAGCGCAACCCUCGCUGUGUGUUAUAUGUGUCACACAGGACUGCUGGUAUUAAGCCGGAGGAAGGUGGGACGACGUCAAGUCAGCAUGACCUUUAUAUCCAGGGCUACACACACGCUACAAUGGUCAGUACAAUGGGUUGCCAAGCCGCGAGGCGGAGCCAAUCCUAAAAAGCUGGCCUCAGUUCAGAUUGCAGUCUGAAACUCGACUGCAUGAAGUCGGAGUUGCUAGUAAACGCAGGUCAGCUAUACUGCGUUGAAUACGUUCCCGGGGCUU